GAACAUAAGAGUUUGAUCCUGGCUCAGGACGAACGCUGGCGGCGUGCUUAACACAUGCAAGUCGAGCGGGGAUACUUGCGGAAGGUCUUCGGACUGGAAGUAAGUAUUCUAGCGGCGGACGGGUGAGUAACGCGUGAACAAUCUGUCCCAGACAGGGGGAUAACAGAUGGAAACAUCUGCUAAUACCGCAUAAGACCACGAGGUCGCAUGGCCAUGAGGUAAAAGGAGCAAUCCGGUUUGGGGUGAGUUCGCGUCCGAUUAGCUAGUUGGUGAGGUAACGGCCCACCAAGGCGACGAUCGGUAGCCGACC
rnacentral:rRNA from 1 species